CUAAGUUCCUGGGCCUUCCACUUCUGCCAAAUAGGCCGCUUAGCACACAUGCAUGCUGUUAGAGGCCUCAACUCCAUAUUCCUUGGCCUUCCACUUCUGCCAAAUUGACUACUAAAACACACAGGCUGUUGUCACAAGCCUCGAUCGACUCCAGGGUGCACAGCCCAACUCCGCAAUUCUCCCCUCAGAAUUGCAUCCACCAAAAAUGCUCUGGAGAGUUUGACUCUGCAUGCAUCUGAAACUACAUCUUUUAGAAACCAGAGAGAAAGUAGAGAAACAUGCAUCUGAAACGCCUCGAUCGACUUCUGAGGGGACACAAGAGGCAAGAAUCGACAUAUAUAUGUAUUUGAAGGAGAGGUAAACUAGAGCUGAAAAAGGAGAUGACUGACUGAACAAAACAAAAACAAAAACAAACAAGGUGGUGCGGCGUCUCGUACGUUGAAGUGGGCGCUCCCAGGAUCGAAGUGCACCACAUUGGAGGGCCAGGAAUUAAAGGGGAGGC
rnacentral:lncRNA from 1 species